UGGGGAAUUUUGGACAAUGGGCGAAAGCCUGAUCCAGCAAUGCCGCGUGUGUGAAGAAGGCCUUCGGGUUGUAAAGCACUUUUGUCCGGAAAGAAAUCCUUGGCUCUAAUACAGUCGGGGGAUGACGGUACCGGAAGAAUAAGCACCGGCUAACUACGUGCCAGCAGCCGCGGUAAUACGUAGGGUGCAAGCGUUAAUCGGAAUUACUGGGCGUAAAGCGUGCGCAGGCGGUUUGCUAAGACCGAUGUGAAAUCCCCGGGCUCAACCUGGGAACUGCAUUGGUGACUGGCAGGCUAGAGUAUGGCAGAGGGGGUAGAAUUCCACGUGUAGCAGUGAAAUGCGUAGAGAUGUGGAGGAAUACCGAUGGCGAAGGCAGCCCCCUGGGCCAAUACUGACGCUCAUGCACGAAAGCGUGGGGAGCAAACAGGAUUAGAUACCCUGGUAGUCCACGCCCUAAACGAUGUCAACUAGUUGUUGGGGAUUCAUUUCCUUAGUAACGUAGCUAACGCGUGAAGUUGACCGCCUGGGGAGUACGGUCGCAAGAUUAAAACUCAAAGGAAUUGACGGGG
rnacentral:rRNA from 1 species